GCCUCCCUCCGCCGCCAUCAGACUCCUACGGAGGCAGCAGUGGGGAAUCUUGCGCAAUGGCCGAAAGGCUGACGCAGCGACGCCGCGUGGGGGAGGAAGGGCCUUCGGGUUGUAAACCCCUGUUGCCCGGGACGAAUGUGCAUUUUUGAGUUGCAUUGACGGUACCGGGUGAGGAAGCACCGGCUAACUCCGUGCCAGCAGCCGCGGUAAUAC
rnacentral:rRNA from 1 species